GAGCUGCAGAAGCCGUAGAGGAAGAUUGAAGAGCUGCAGGGGCGAGGGAGGCAGCUGGGGGAGGAGAACCGUGCCCUACAGCACCAUCUGAGCUUUGUCAGAGAGGAGCUGCACGGUGCCACGCUUCAGGCAUUUAGGAGCAAAGAAGGGAUCGAGAAGGAGCGUAAUUACAGCCUCGCUUCUAACAGCGGGUCCUCAUCCGGCUUCCGUUGGCGGCGGCCUGGGGGUAGUUCCUGCCCCUCCUUGAGCUCUGUCAGAGGCAAGAAGAAACGGAGAAGCUGAGGGAUGAGGACAGGCGGCUCGAGGACAAGGCGGAGCGCAGUAGUGCGGAGUCAAGCCGCUGGCGGCGGGAGGCUCAGAGGGCGACCGUGGAGUGAGAAGAGGAGCCACGAAGCUGGACACAGCACGGCACACGGCCACGCGGGAACCGAAGCCGCGCGAUGCGGAGCCGGAGGAGGCCCGGCACGCUCGUGACGUGGCCCUGGCCGACCUGCGCCUCCGCAAGGGCGACGCCCGGAGGCUGGCUUUCGAGAAGCAGGGCCUGCAGGAGUUUCUGAAGCGCCUCCA